UACGGGGGGGGCAAGCGUUGUUCGGAAUUACUGGGCGUAAAGGGCGCGUAGGCGGUUCGCUAAGUCGGAUGUGAAAACUCUGGGCUCAACCCAGAGCCUGCAUCCGAAACUGGCGGGCUAGAGUUCUGGAGGGGGUAGCGGAAUUCCUGGUGUAGCGGUGAAAUGCGUAGAUAUCUGGAGGAAUACCGGUGGCGAAGGCGGCUCACUGGCCCGGUACUGACGCUGAUGUGCGAAAGCGUGGGGAGCAAACAGG
rnacentral:rRNA from 1 species